AUAUGCUGUGAGCUCGAUGAGUAGGGCGGGACACGUGGUAUCCUGUCUGAAUAUGGGGGGACCAUCCUCCAAGGCUAAAUACUCCUGACUGACCGAUAGUGAACCAGUACCGUGAGGGAAAGGCGAAAAGAACCCCGGCGAGGGGAGUGAAACAGAACCUGAAACCGUGUACGUACAAGCAGUGGGAGCCCCACCACUAAGCCAGUGGUGAACUCCACAUACGCAUCCUUUGCGGAAGAUGCGGUUAACGGAGCGAAAGCGACGUUCAACCUCAGAAGAAGCAGAGGGGGCUUAGUGGUGGGGUGACUGCGUACCUUUUGUAUAAUGGGUCAGCGACUUAUAUUCUGUAGCAAGGUUAACCGCAUAGGGGAGCCGAAGGGAAACCGAGUCUUAAUUGGGCGUUAAGUUGCAGGGUAUAGACCCGAAACCCGGUGAUCUAGCCAUGGGCAGGUUGAAGGUUGGGUAACACUAACUGGAGGACCGAACCGACUAAUGUUGAAAAAUUAGCGGAUGACCUGUGGCUGGGGGUGAAAGGCCAAUCAAACCGGGAGAUAGCUGGUUCUCCCCGAAAGCUAUUUAGGUAGCGCCUCGUGAAUUCAUCUCCGGGGGUAGAGCACUGUUUCGGCUAGGGGGCCAUCCCGGCUUACCAACCCGAUGCAAACUGCGAAUACCGGAGAAUGUUAUCACGGGAGACACACGGCGGGUGCUAACGUCCGUCGUGAAGAGGGAAACAACCCAGACCGCCAGCUAAGGUCCCAAAGUCAUGGUUAAGUGGGAAACGAUGUGGGAAGGCCCAGACAGCCAGGAUGUUGGCUUAGAAGCAGCCAUCAUUUAAAGAAAGCGUAAUAGCUCACUGGUCGAGUCGGCCUGCGCGGAAGAUGUAACGGGGCUAAACCAUGCACCGAAGCUGCGGCAGCGACACUUUAGUGUUGUUGGGUAGGGGAGCGUUCUGUAAGCCGUCGAAGGUGUGUCGUGAGGCAUGCUGGAGGUAUCAGAAGUGCGAAUGCUGACAUAAGUAACGAUAAAGCGGGUGAAAAGCCCGCUCGCCGGAAGACCAAGGGUUCC
rnacentral:rRNA from 1 species